GAGAACAGAAUCCAGGAAGGGAGGAAAUGGAUAGGGGACAGGACAGGACCUCAGGAAAGGAAGUAACAGACAAGGUACAAGGAAGUAAGGAAAUCACGUAAUUAGACCAUGGCCGCAGACACUGGCGGCAUUUGGCGCCCGGACAGGGACCUGAAAGGAAGGCUUCCCCCGUCAGAGUGGCCCGGGACAAGGUGGGCUCUUUGGCCAACAGUCCUAGAAAAGGAGCUCCGGUCGUCAAGAGAAGAAGGCUAACAAGAACAUGCAGGAGAACCAGUCUGGGUUCCCAAGAGGAACAUCCGCACCUGUCAGCGUACUGACCGGAGGGAUAGAGACCCUGAGCAUCA